CCUAUUACGAAGGCGAACAGGUUGUGCACCGCUAGAGGCCAAACGAGCACACUCCGCUACGCCUGUACCUUACGUUCCGACCGUUCCUCUACCCGUUUUCGUUCUUCUUUUGUAGGUGGGUGGCUCAACGGAGAACUAGUUCCUCGGCUACCACUUACCUCCUCGGCGGCGGCUCACGGCGACGGGAUGCAGUCCACCACGAAUUUCGCUUCCGGUUGUGAGCCAGAGGCACGAGGCAAGUUCUAAGGCCGCAGCCAACGCACGACCAACCCCCAGCGAGGCCAGGUAGCGGUUCCGAUCCACAAACACCUUAACGGACGGAGGAAACGUUGACGUUGCCGUCGCGGUCGUCUCAUUCCUUCCGAUUCCGAUCCGUCUCGUUCCUUUCCUUUCCUACCGGUACGGCGCCCCGGACCGCCGCAUGUACCACCUGUACCACACCCGCCACGAGCGGCCCACCCACAGCCGCACGGACGACCAGCGGUUGCUCUAGCGGGCGCCGUACGCCCGGCCCCUCUAACCGGGGAAGCAGCACCCCACUUUUUAGAGCAAAGCCCAGGAGGGAAGACUAAGUAAGGAAGUACGUCUAUAGAAAAACCGCUUAGGCAGGUACCUAUGUAACGUGAUGUGACAUGUCUCAGGUAUUUAGUUGUUAUCACAAGUCGACUUACCGAAGCCGGUAAUUGUCUUCACUGUCUAAAGAUCUACUACAAAAUAAAAGAGAGGAAAGAAAGGUGUUAAGAAGACAAGACAUAUCAGUACAUUUCUUAAAUAAAAGGAAAGUGUAAUAUCAAGAGAUUUCCAUACACGUCGACGUAUUCUUACCCAGUAGAAUACAAGAAGCGGGGAGAAAAUAAAUACUAGUUCCCGAUCAAAACGUCGUAGGUAUGUUAGACGACGUACCGAUCGUUGAGACCUCUUUCUACCCUCUUAAGUUAGCGAACCAGCUGAGAUGAUUACAUCGGUACAUCCGUUGUUCCUAUCGAUCUGUAUAAAGGUCCUGUACAUUACAAUCAGACAGUAUGCUGUAGACAUAUGAUUUUGUUUUAUUUUUGAUGUCCAAGUCUUUGUCCUGCUCUAAUGUUAUGUCAUGUACAGAAACAGGAUCGGUAGUUAAACACAUUAGACUAGUCCAACAAGUUCCGGUCAAACCGUCUUUAAUGUGACUAUACUUCAAGGUAUGUACAGUUUCCAUAUCACUACAAAAAAAGUAUCCGACCAACAAGUACCGUUGGCUCUCUACACUUCAAACGAAUAGGGGCUGCCAGCAUUAACAAACAUCUGUAGACGUCCAGAGAUGUCUAGAGAGUCGGACCGUCAAUAUAGUAGGUGACACAAACCGUGGACGUUCAUGUUCCAAGCUCACUCUUGCCUAGUACUCUGCGUAGCUACCUUAUUGUCUAGGUAGCAUGAGGUGUGUAUGUUCGUGUUCAAGUCGUCUAGCACAUCCACCUCUUCACCUCAAAAAAACAAGGUGCACCUCUUCAUCUCAACACUCCCUUAUUGAGGUGGGUGUGCCAAGUUUAGGUUCACGAGUUUAACGUACAUGCGUUCACGUAAAACCAUGUUUAAGUCACUGUACGAGAGUAAAUAGUAUAGUUAAGAUUCGUACCUUAAUCCCCUACACAAGUGCACCCACAAAUGCCACACUAACACGUACAUGUCACAACACAUACGGAUACAUUUACGGA
rnacentral:rRNA from 1 species